AAUCUCCCACCCCAAGCGGUUUUUGAAUGAAACGGCUUGGCGGAUGGGGUCUGGAUGGGUGCCUCUGCCUGUGCUAACCUUUUAGCCCACAGGCUCGCCCGAAAUGCAUGAGCGCCUUGGGACACUUUGCAUCCGCCUCUCUUGUGGGAGGAGGCGGCCAAGCAGUGUUUUUCUCCAGGCAUGGCAUGAUACGUCAUUUGCUAUGUCGCCCAAUGGAGGAAUGUUUGGUUGUGUCUGCGUGUGCUUCGAACUUGCCUCUGUGCAAAAAUCCCCUUUCAC
rnacentral:misc_RNA from 1 species